UGGGGAAUUUUGGACAAUGGGCGAAAGCCUGAUCCAGCAAUGCCGCGUGUGUGAAGAAGGCCUUCGGGUUGUAAAGCACUUUUGUCCGGAAAGAAAUCCUUGGCUCUAAUACAGUCGGGGGAUGACGGUACCGGAAGAAUAAGCACCGGCUAACUACGUGCCAGCAGCCGCGGUAAUACGUAGGGUGCAAGCGUUAAUCGGAAUUACUGGGCGUAAAGCGUGCGCAGGCGGUUUGCUAAGACCGAUGUGAAAUCCCCGGGCUCAACCUGGGAACUGCAUUGGUGACUGGCAGGCUAGAGUAUGGCAGAGGGGGGUAGAAUUCACGUGUAGCAGUGAAAUGCGUAGAGAUGUGGAGGAAUACCGAUGGCGAAGGCAGCCCCCUGGGCCAAUACUGACGCUCAUGCACGAAAGCGUGGGGAGCAAACAGGAUUAGAUACCCUGGUAGUCCACGCCCUAAACGAUGUCAACUAGUUGUUGGGGGACUUCAAUUUCCUUAGUAACGUAGCUAACGCGUGAAGUUGACCGCCUGGGGAGUACGGUCG
rnacentral:rRNA from 1 species